CUCUCCGCCUCCCACCCGGGGGCGCGCGUAACGCCCAACGGGGAGCGCUGACGGCAGCCACGGGCACGGGCCAGGCCCCGCGCCGGUUCAGCCCCGCCCCGCCCCGCCGCGCUUCCUCCUGCUCGGCUCUGCCGGCCGCUGCCCCACGGGCGUGGGGGGGAGCGGAGGGAGGAGGGCGGCGUUCGAUCGGCUGGGUGGCUGGGAAAGAAAGGCAGGCUCACGCGCGGCAGGUCACCUUGGCAUCAUAGAGCACUUUGGCUUUGGUGGGGUCGGGCUCGAAGCAGAGAACUCUCUCCCCUCGGUGGAACUUAAAUUUCAUUCCCCGCGAGGUCAUUUGUUCAUCAUGGCGCAAAGGAGAUGAGCCCCGCCCCCACCGCGGGGGUGGCGCCGCCGGCAGCCCCGCCCCUGGCGGCCACUGGCGCUCAGGGCGAAGGCGGGCGGGCAGGGGAGGGAAGGCAGAUUAGAGUAGGUUAGGGUCUUGUUCACCGUCUUUGCUUCAGCCCUCCACGGGGUGAGAUGCAGCAGGGUACGGCUGCUGCGGAGUCGAGCUGCUGCCUUUGCCCGCCCUGCUGCCGCCGGUCACGCGGGGUGUGUGUCAUGGGCUGCUGGGAGCAGGCCGCGGCAGAGGCAGUGGUGCGGGGACACUUCCCUCCGGGCGGAGUGGCGGCUGUCAGCCCUGGGCCGGAGAAACAGCGCUGGGCCCUGGCAAGUGACCCGGCUUUUGCUGGUACUCGUCGACCCCUCCAUCGUGGUCCUGCGCUGGGUGUACGCCCUGUGCUGGAGAGCGUAACUGCACCCUGAGAACAGCACCGCCUAUUUUCUCCGGUACGGCGUCCCCUAAGCUUCACCGCACCUCUCCCGUUCAUUGCCGUGUUUCUUGUGUUCUCUGAGCAAAGAACGGCUCCGUAGUCUCAAGGUGGCUACUUGAUAAACUUGCUGAAGGUCUGUUUUCUCUAGUGUUCUUUGAGCCUGCCUACAAAAAUAGGCAUGGAGUGUUGCACUUGAAGCUCAAAUCAGUUAGGGUUCGAUUUUGCUUUCAAGUGCAAGCUCCUUUUGUCUCAAACACGACGAAAAUAGUGGUAAUAAUGAAAAAAACAAUUUGCAUUUUCUUGUUAAUGCACUUCAUGCUGACUGAUGCUUGGAAAAGACUGGAGUUCAGUCAGGGGAAUACUGCAGUUUCCUACACAGUGUUAGUAGAUGCUCCUUCAAGCCAUGAGAGUUUCAGUGCCAGUUCAGCAUUUCUGAUCUACUACAGACCGUGACAGACCCAGGAGGCCUGUGCUUAGCAAGCCUUGUAUAAAGACUUGAUCAUUUGUGAUUAUUUAGCAUUUCUGAAAGUCGGAUUUUUGUAAAAGCUUUUCAGGAGGUGAAUGACUCUAAACGAAAACAACUGUACAAGUGAGCAGACAGUAGUCCUCUGCUUAUGGGAAAAGAAGUUUAUGUCCCCUUUCCAGUCCUUGCGGCUGAUAGCAAAGAUGGAAACUGGCAAGACUGCCCUAGGGUAGAAGAGAGCUGGAAGUGUAUUACCAGAUGUUUCUGAAGGGAAAACGUGGCAAGGCAUACACAGAAAAUGACAUUUCAAGAGGAUGACUGCUCCCUGAGGACACAUGGUUGUUCUCAGAACAACACCUUCCCCUUAAAGCUCUACAGUGUGCUAGAACUCAUUUCUCCAGCCAGAGGGACACUCUGUGUAAUAAUUUCUGUGUUAUGAAAACAUACCAUCUACUAAAAGUUGAGAGAAGAGAUUUUGUAUUGGAUGUGAACUUUCCCCUGAUGCCCUGGAAAUACUAAUGCAGCAACUCUGCACUGAGACAUUGGAAAGGAAGUGGCCUCAGAAUUAAAGAAAGAGCAACAAGCACCAAAAAAGGUAGAAGUAGUUGAAAUAGUUCAAGUUUACAAACAUGUAAGAUUAUGUAAACAUGUUUCUUGCUUUUUAAAUCUCAGCUGCUGUUUAGCUGAUUGCCCAGUAAAGUGCCAAAUGGCAAAAAUAUCAACUGUUCUGGGAAAACAAAAUACAGCUCAAAUAAGCAAACAAGAUUUAAAACCUAAACAAACAAAAGAGUGUUCUGGACCCAGAAAAUGUAUAAUAGAUAAAAAUGCAUGUGAUGUAUGUGCUGUAUUGGGCUAAUGUAGGCUAAACUUCACAGCAGCAUAAAAGCAGAAUCAGAGUAUCAAAACAAGAGGAGGUCUGUAAUUUCUCUAGCAGAGUUCUCAGGAACAUAAUCUCUUUAUAACUGCCAGAAGCAUUCCAAAAUAUUAUCAAUUGCUGCAGUCCCUGUUCCACAUAUAACCUAAAAAAAAAAAAAGCUGGAUAACUUCACUAGGCAACAUUUCCACAAACAUCUACAGUGUUAGUACUGACUCACAUCUCUCCCCUGAAAGGUUGUAACAGUCCCAGGAUUUGGGGUUUGAUUUUAUCAGAGGAGUGGACAGAAGGACAUUGCCAAUGCCACUGGCUUCUCAAAAAAGCACACAAGCCUUGUGAGCAUCUGAGAAGUCUCCCACACAUGCUCCAUCAAGCCAUACUCAGAUGCAUAGUCAAUUUCUUCAUGCCAGACCAUACCAACUCAGCAGAACUACCUGAUAGGGGUGAAGGACUCAGUACAUGGAGAGUCUGGUCAAAGCUGCAUGAUCCCACAGCUGGCCCUCACUUGCUGUGUUCACCAGGUUUUUUUAGAGAAAAAGUUGUUGGUGAAAUGAUGAAAGGUGGGAAAGCAACAGUUAAAGCUAAAACUGGAAGUUGCAUUGAGUAACUGACUGAUUUCAACACAGCUCAGAAGUAAUUUUGCUCAACUGCAGAUGAGACAGGCUACA